AAUCAACGCUGGCGGCGUGCCUCAGACAUGCAAGUCGAACGCGAAAGUUUCCUUCGGGGGAUGAGUAGAGUGGCGCACGGGUGAGUAACACGUAGGUAAUCUACCUUUGGAUGGGGAAUAACAAUCGGAAACGGUUGCUAAUACCGCAUAAUGCAGCGGCACCUAAUGGUGACAGUUGUUAAAGCGGGGGAUCGAAAGACCUCGCGUCUGAAGAGGAGCCUGCGGCGGAUAGCUAGUUGGUAAGGUAACGGCUUACCAAGGCGACGAUCCGUAGCCGGCCUGAGAGGGCGGUCGGCCACACUGACACUGACAUACGGGUCAGACUCCUACGGGAGGCAGCAGUCGGGAAUUUUGGGCAAUGGGCGAAAGCCUGACCCAGCAACGCCGCGUGAAGGAUGAAAUCCCUCGGGAUGUAAACUUCGCAAGAACGGGAAGAAUAAGUAGGGACAAUACCCCCUAUGAUGACGGUACCGUUUGUAAGCUCCGGCUAACUCCGUGCCAGC
rnacentral:rRNA from 1 species